CAAUCCAUGAGUAUAGUGGCGACCGGGUGAGUAACACGUGACCAAUCUACCCUCAAGUGGGGGAUAACUCCGGGAAACCGGGGCUAAUACCGCAUAACAUCCUCGGAUCGGAAGAACUGGGGAUCAAAGGAGCAAUUCGCUGGAGGAGGAGGUCGCGGCUGAUUAGCUAGUUGGCGGGGUAAUGGCCCACCAAGGCGACGAUCGGUAGCCGGCCUGAGAGGGCGCACGGCCACACUGGAACUGAAACACGGUCCAGACUCCUACGGGAGGCAGCAGUGGGGAAUUUUGCGCAAUGGGGGAAACCCUGACGCAGCAACGCCGCGUGGAGGAUGAAGUCCCUUGGGACGUAAACUCCUUUCGACCGGGACGAUAAUGACGGUACCGGUGGAAGAAGCCCCGGCUAACUUCGUGCCAGCAGCCGCGGUAAUACGAGGGGGGCGA
rnacentral:rRNA from 1 species